rnacentral:misc_RNA from 1 species
ACCCUAUGAAGCUUGACUGUAGCCUGGAAUUGGGUUCGGGCUCUUCUUGCGCAGCCUAGGUGGGAGGCGUUGAAAGUUUUCUUUCGGGAAGACUGGAGCCAACAGUGAGAGACCACUCUGGAGGAGCUAGAAUUCUAAUGGCGUUCCUUGAAGCAGGACGCUUGACAGUUUCAGGUGGGCAGUUUGACUGGGGCGGUCACCUCCUAAAAGGUAACGGAGGUGUGCAAAGGUUCCCUCAGGCUGGACGGAAAUCAGCCGUAGAGUGUAAAGGCAGAAGGGAGCUUGACUGCAAGACCUACAAGUCGAGCAGGGGCGAAAGCCGGCCUUAGUGAUCCGACGGUUCCGUGUGGAAGGGCCGUCGCUCAACGGAUAAAAGUUACUCUAGGGA